GUUGAUCCUGGCGGAGGUUACUGCUAUCGAGGUUCGACUAAGCCAUGCGAGUCGAAUGUAGCAAUACAUGGCGUACUGCUCAGUAACACGUGGACAACCUACCCUUAGGUCGGGAUAAACCCGGGAAGCUGGGUAUAAUACCCGAUAGUCCUCGGAUGCUGGAAUGCACCGAGGUCUAAAGCUCCGGCGCCUAAGGAUGGGUCUGCGGCCUAUCAGGUAGUAGUGGGUGUAGCGUACCUACUAGCCUACGACGGGUACGGGUUGUGAGAGCAAGAGCCCGGAGAUGGAUUCUGAGACACGAAUCCAGGCCCUACGGGGUGCAGCAGGCGCGAAAACUUUACAAUGCUGGAAACAGCGAUAAGGGGACCUCGAGUGCCAGGUUACAAAUCUGGCUGUCGUGAUGCCUAAAAAGCAUUGCAUAGCAAGGGCCGGGCAAGACCGGUGCCAGCCGCCGCGGUAACACCGGCGGCUUGAGUGGUAACCGCUAUUAUUGGGUCUAAAGGGUCUGUAGCCGGCCGGAUAAGUCUUUUGGGAAAUCUGGCAGCUUAACUGUCAGGCUUUCAGAGGAUACUGUCUGGCUCGAGGCCGGGAGAGGUGAGAGGUACUCAGGGGUAGGGGGAAAUCUUGUGCCCUGAAGGACCACCA
rnacentral:rRNA from 1 species